AUACAGAGGGUGCGAGCGUUAAUCGGAAUUACUGGGCGUAAAGCGCGCGUAGGCGGCUACUUAAGUCAGAUGUGAAAUCCCCGGGCUCAACCUGGGAACUGCAUCUGAUACUGGGUAGCUAGAGUUUAGGAGAGGGAAGUAGAAUUUCAGGUGUAGCGGUGAAAUGCAUAGAGAUCUGAAGGAAUACCAGUGGCGAAGGCGGCUUCCUGGCCUAAAACUGACGCUGAGGUGCGAAAGCGUGGGUAGCAAACAGGAUGAGAAACCCUAGUAGUCC
rnacentral:rRNA from 1 species